GUAAAAUAUCAAACAUUUAGCACAUAUACUAAAUUGGAACAAUACAGAGAAGAUUCGCCUGAUCCCUGUAUAUAGAUGACAUGCAAAUUAGUGAAGCGUUCCAUAUUAAA